rnacentral:rRNA from 1 species
UACGGGGGGGGCAAGCGUUGUUCGGAAUUACUGGGCGUAAAGGGCGCGUAGGCGGCCUGCUAAGUCGGAUGUGAAAUCCCUCGGCUCAACCGAGGAACUGCAUCCGAUACUGGCGGGCUUGAAUCCGGGAGAGGGAUGUGGAAUUCCAGGUGUAGCGGUGAAAUGCGUAGAUAUCUGGAGGAACACCGGUGGCGAAGGCGGCAUCCUGGGCCGAUACUGACGCUGAGGAGCGAAAGCGUGGGGAGCAAACAGG